rnacentral:tRNA from 1 species
GCCUUGGUAGUGUAGUGGUCUAGCACUCUGCCCUGUCACGGCGGCAACCGGGGUUCGAAUCCCCGCCAAGGCG